rnacentral:rRNA from 1 species
UGGGGAAUAUUGGACAAUGGGCGCAAGCCUGAUCCAGCCAUGCCGCGUGAGUGAUGAAGGCCCUAGGGUUGUAAAGCUCUUUCACCGGUGAAGAUAAUGACGGUAACCGGAGAAGAAGCACCGGCUAACUUCGUGCCAGCAGCCGCGGUAAUACGAAGGGGGCUAGCGUUGUUCGGAUUUACUGGGCGUAAAGCGCACGUAGGCGGACUUUUAAGUCAGGGGUGAAAUCCCGGGGCUCAACCCCGGAACUGCCUUUGAUACUGGAAGUCUUGAGUAUGGUAGAGGUGAGUGGAAUUCCGAGUGUAGAGGUGAAAUUCGUAGAUAUUCGGAGGAACACAAGUGGCGAAGGCGGCUCACUGGACCAUUACUGACGCUGAGGUGCGAAAGCGUGGGGAGCAAACAGG